rfam:Myotis brandtii contig267114, whole genome shotgun sequence.
ACAAUGGCCCCUUUGGGGGCCAUGGAAAAGAAAAGAAAAAACAGAGG